CAAACGAUCUAGCUUCUGCAUUAUCUCGGCAUUGAACUUUUUCUGGGAUGCCAGCUCAGCAAGGAUAGUGGCAUUCUCCGAUCGGAUAGUGGCAUUCUCAGAAAGGAUAGUGGUGUUCUGCUCCUCCAAUGCCCCAAUCCGUUCAUCUUUGUCAUGUAGCUCCUCGAGAAUCAUGGGAUCGGCAUACGGAGCUUGCGAAGAAGAUGCCGGAUACGAAGAAGCACGGCGGGCCAACCCAACUAAAUGGCCUCCUUUCUUUUUAGGAACCACCUACAAAAAUAUUUAAAAUUAGUAAAUAGGGACAAGUUGGUAAUCGAAAUUAUAAAAAAUAUAUAUUAAUAAAAAAAAUUACAUUUUCAGCCAUCCACUACAAGAAAAAUGAGUUUUGAUAGCAAUACAAGAUAACUUUUUUUACCUUUCUGCUAUAAUUGACAUACCCUUAAGUUUUAGAUAGCGUUUGCAAAAAUGCAAACGCUAUGUUUGGUUGAUCCGAAUUAAAUUCUGAAAACACUUCUUAGAAACGUAGUAUAUAUAGCACUCUCAAACUUGAAACGCUAUGCAUAAUUAAAGCAGGAAAAUAGUUGAUUUUCCCUCUCAUCCUUAUUUUACUUUCUCUCUCUAUAAAUUUCAUUUAUGAACUUUUAAAAACUCUAUACCCUAAACCAUAAACUUUAAACAUAAACCCUAAAGCUCAAGUAUUUUUUUAUUUUAAUCACAAAUCAAAGUUUAAAUUCAAAUUUUAAUAUUAUUAAAAAUUAAAUUUUAAAAUAUCAUCUAAACUUAAAACCCUAAACCUUAGACUUAUAUAUAUAUAUAUAUAUCAUACCCCAAAUUAAUUUUUUUUUUUGAAACACACCGUGAUUAAUUAUAUAUUGUAAAUUUUAACUAAAAAUCUUAAAAACGAUUAUUAUUUAACUUCGAAUCCAAAAUUUUAUCUCAAAACAUAAAAUCUAACCCUCCAACACUCCAAACCCUAUAUAUCACAAACAUUAAAAGACCCAAACAUUAAACUUAAACUUCUUAAAAUUGAAUCUCUUACAAUUUUUAAUCUAAAUUCUAAUAUUAAAUCUUUUCCUAAGCAUAAAAUCCAAAUUUAUGUUUCAAUUCUUAUACAUAAACCUUUUAAUCCUAUAUUCUAUUUUUUUUACCAAAAACACUUAAAACCUUCAUUUUAUAUUUUUACUCAUAAAACUGUAUUAUAAACAAUAAAAUAAAAUAUGAAAAUCUAUUUCUAUACAGAAAUUAAAUAAAAAUACAAACUAAGUUUCUUAUAACUUUAUUGACAAGAAAAUACAAUAUAGCAAAGAAAAGAUAAACCAAAAAUGAAAAAUUCUUAUUGGCUAAUAAAAAUUGGUGGGGAUAAGCAAAACUUAAUCUCAACCGUUGGUAAACCUUAAUCUAGGAGAUGAAAUUUCAUUGGCUAAAGGUUGCCUCGACUUUCUUAUUUUUCUUGUUCAUCUCAUUUUCUUCUCCUUACGGUUUACACAGAUCUUCACUUUCACUCUCUCUUUGUUUUAUUUGAUUCAUCCACCAAUUCUCACCGACCUAUCUCUCCAUCCCCGACAUCUCGCGACACCAACGUCUCGUGCUACCGCCAUAUCACCAAUGUGACAACGUCAUGAAGAGGAGGAAGAAGAUGCGGCGGAGGUGGUGCAUAGAUAAAAGAGGAAGAAGAGAUGCGGCGAGGUGAAUGGGACGAGCUUGCGGUGAUGGAUCCGGCGGAGACAAUGAAUCUUCAGAUCUGAAGAAGCUGUGGUGUGGAUAUGGCAGAAGUUAGGGUAGUGGUGUGGAGGUGGAGCCAAGCACGAAAAAGAUAGAUGAUUGAAGAUGGGGUUUAGAAAUUUAGGUUUAGUUUCUAUUUUUUUCAAAAAUUGGUUUAGCUUGGUUUAGUUUGGUUUAUUUUAAUAUACCAAUCCUUAAAUAUGUAACUAAUAUCGAUAUUUUAAUAUUUUAAAAUAUUUUUAUUUGUA